UUUUUCCGUGGAAACCUUAUAAUAAAAACCUCAUUAUCCUUUUUCUCUUUUGAUUCCAUAUUUUUUUUCUUUUCCCCCCUCACUCUUGUCCCCCUUGCACUAACUCUCCUUUCUUUUCUCUUCUCCCCUUAUAUCCCCUUGUCUGUGCCACACACUAGUACCAGAGAAACUCAAGGGCACUGCUUAAGCCUAUUAGAUUUGCUGAUCUCAAGUUUAGGGAUCCAAUUCUUGACAUUUGAAAUAGCCUAUUAUGGAUACUUUCAUCCCAAUUCUAAACUCAGAGAUUAAAUUAGACAGUAGUUCAGUACUUAGAAGAUGACAAGGUGUAAACCACUAUUAAACUACCAUAUUAUCUGAAAGUAUAAGUGAACAAACAAGGGCUGAGAUUCUGGUCUUUUAUAAGCAUGUAGUUAAGCAAUCGGCAUUUUGGAUUUGUCCCAGGAUCAGAGGCAACGAAAAGGUUCGGAGGCAUUUUUGAUUUUAUAAAUUUUCUUCAGGACAAAAAGUAUGUUUAAAACUCAUCCUGCAGGAUGGUUUGCUGUCCUACCACAAGCAGAUUCAGCCCAGCUGAACAAGCUCACAACCAUACCAUGGGAAAAGGAAAAGAGAAGAGAGCCCUGUGUACAUCUGAGAUCAAAGGUUUCACUUUCUCCACUUUUGUUUUAAAGUUCUUCAAAGGUGAUCAAAUAGCUCCCUUCCCUGCACAGGAUCUAAGCUAGCUGUUCUCUUAGAAGGCAUAACCCGUUUUACCAUGUGUUGAAACUGCUACAUCUAGACAAUAAACACAGACGCAUACUUAGUAAGAAAACAAUUAGCUUAACGCAGGGAGUAAACAAAAAAUCAAAACUAUUCUACUUUAGACUGUCAGUAUAUGACCUGUUUCUCGUAUUUUAGUUUGGUUUUAGGCUGUCAUUUAUUAUCCUACCUUUCAAGGUUAAUUACGUGCCACACAUACCCUUCUUCCUCUCAGCCAACAUGAACUUCUUUCAGUUUUUCAAAUCCUUCAGGUGUUCUCUUCAUUCCAAGCCUCUGAAUACGUGCUUCCCCCACCCAUUACACUUUUUUCUUCCUCAGACUCCAAGUCAUCUCCUUUAAUACUCUAAACUAUACCAAAUACUUUUACUCUCUGUUCUCACAAUAUUUAUAUCCUUUAUUAACCCUCACUCACGCUUUCCUGUAAUGACUUCUUUAACCAAAUCUUCCCACUAGAUUUAGCUGUAAGAGGGCACUUGCAAUGCCUAGUACAGUACUUGACAAAUACUAUUCACCAGUAAUAAUUUGGCACACAAUGCUUGAGAAUCCAUAAUGCCAUACAAGGCUUAAGAAGCUGUCCACAAACCAACUCUACCUACCCUGUUUAUUAUUCCCACCAUUCACCCUGUUUCGGUUCCAUUCUUCCCUGCAAGCUGGUCUCUCCUCUUGGAAUGUUGAUCACUGCCUGUGCCCCAACUAACUGAGAUCUGCUCAUCUUUCAGAUCAGACCAAUAAAAUAUCAAGAAAAGAUCCUCUGUUUUAUUACCAUGCUCCUCCCUCCCCCAGCAGAUUUCGCAGUUAUAUGUGUGUGUAGCAUUAAAAGGAUUAAUGAGGCUCAAAAGAAUUCUAGAAUGAAAGAACAUUUACCAAAAAUGAGUUAGUCAUUUUUGCUGUUGUCGAAAAGUUGGCUGCAUGAAAUGAAGGAUGCAAAUUUUACUUAAGCAAGAUAAUUUAAUACAGGUAGUGAGAAGGACAAUUACAGAGUUCCCAGGGAACAUUACCUACUGUUGAAAUCAAUUUCUAGGCCCAAAAUAGAGCUGUUCCUGCCAUGGGUCCCACAUCAGCAAACCAAAACUUAGACAACCUCCAUUAGAUAACUUUCUGUAUAAAGGCUUUAUCCCUCCUGUGAGCACUCACUCACUUAGCAUUUGGCCCAACUCGUUUGGAAUCAGGCUGUUCCUAUUGGAACUGUGCUGAUAUUUGACCUGCAGACUGUUUAGGAAUUUUCUUUUGCUCUAGGAAAAAAACCUGAGAAAUGGGAUCCCAGUAAUCUACAUGUUGGAGUUCGCCCCCUGCCCUUUCAGGGACUCUGGACAGUACUACAUUUAAAAAUUGCAGUCCUACCUCAUGCACGUUUCAAACGAAGAAAGAAAGACAUGUCCUCUGAGGUCUCUCUCUCCCCUCCUCCAAUUUUCUUUGUCUCAGGCCCUGCCUCCAGUGCCGGCUUCCUCCUUCCCUUCUCCAAGAUGGGUACUAACACGGUUCAGAUAGUGGGAGUCUCUGCAAUAGGUCUUUUUUUAGGCCUUUUGAGAGAUACCCACUCUUCCCUCCUUAACUUCCUCUGCCCCCUAUUCAUUUAUUAGGCCAAGACUUCUUAGAAAAGUAUCAUGCUGGGAUUUCUUUCUCCCCAAAAAGGAAAUAAUAAUUCCAGAAUUUGACAGUAGAUAAAUAAGCCUUCAAAGCAAUAAACUCAUUCCUUGUAAUACCCCUAGUUUACCUGUGAGAAAACCCGAGGCCAGGGAUGGAGCUUUGUCCAGAACCUCUGAACAAUAAAUAACACCAUUAUCCCUCAGUACCCUAUUGUUCCUAAUCCCUACAAGCUACUGACAUCCAUUCCUACUGAGAUCAAAUUUUUUGAUAAACUCUUCUAUUCUCUACUUUGUUAUACUAUGUAGAUAAUCUGUUUCUCUGCCCCCCUUCUCAAAUUUCUUCACAGAAAAACAGCAUCCACCUGUUAAAAUGUUUGACCUUAAGGGGAUGUGAUGUCUCCAAAGAAAAACUGCAGUUUGCUCAAACCCAGGUUCAAUAUUUAGGACACCUGAUCUCGAGGACAGUGGAAUGCAUUCUUUAAUAGGUAAUGCUGGCUCAACAUUUCAAAAUGAUCAGAAUGGUCUGCAACGCUUAUGACCUUAAGAAGACACAGACUUUAGAUGGUGGGACACAACACCCAGGAAAAGUCCUGGCACCAAGGGACAAAGGCCACUGAAGAUGGAAAACCUGACUCUUGAUCAGCGAUGCUUUCAGAGAAAAGCAGAAAAUGCCAAACUGAAUAGAGGAAACCUCAUUUAAAAUAGCUGGGAGUCCAGAAGGGGGAACCCUCACACACUACCACAAGAAGCAUCAACUACUCCCGUUAAUUACAUACUCCAACAGCAAAGCAUCAUUCACAGACCUACUAGGAGGGAAGAUUUCCUGUUCACCCAGCAAAUUUGCCUAGGAGGAACCAUCACCACCUGAACUCUCACUUUCUACCAGGGGACUUUCUUCAGAACAACCCCUCCCAAUUUCUUCCUUUUUCCCUGUAACAGAAUGGGCCUCUCCUUUGUUUGCUGAACUUAUCUAUGGCUUUUCCUCUAGUUCGCUUGUCUCGAAUUGCAAUUCCUCUGCUAUUCCCAAAUAAGCCCAUUUUGCUGGUAAAAUAAACAGCUGUUUUAUUUUUACCUUAAAAGCUUCAUGCCUUUCACCUUAUUUUGCAUGUCUCCAAAAGGAGACUGCCCACUUCAUGUCAAUGUGAACUUAAACUGUAUCACCUAAAUUAUUUUCUUUA